rnacentral:misc_RNA from 1 species
AACGCAUCUUGCGCUCUUUGGUAUUCCGAAGAGCAUGCCUGUCUGAGUGUCAUGAAACUCUCAACCCCACAGGUUUUGUAAUGAGACCUUGUGCGGGCUUGGAUCCUGAGCGUUGCAGGUGUUUAACCGGCUCGUUCGAAAUACAUUAGCGAUCACGCACUUGGCGUUGGUUUGACUUGAAGUGAUAGUAAGCAUUUCCUUCAAGGACACUUCCCCUCAAAAGGACAGUGACCAACCUUUGGGCCGGAACGCUCACAAAACCCCAUUAUUCAUCAUGAUUAGACCUCAAAUCAGGUAGGACUACCCGCUGAACUUAA